GAUGAAGAACGUAGCGAAAUGCGAUAAGUAAUGUGAAUUGCAGAAUUCAGUGAAUCAUCGAAUCUUUGAACGCACCUUGCACCCUUUGGAAUUCCAAAGGGUAUGCUCGUUUGAGUGUCAUUGUACUCUCACACUCUCCGAUCCUUUGGAUUUGGGGAGCGGUGGACUUGGGUGUUUGCUGCUUUCAUUGUGGCUCACCUCAAAUGUGUCAGUGCAUCUCUUGAUUGGACAUAGUACGGCGUGAUAAGUGUCUUCACCGGCACCUCAGUAGAGGGUGGCUGAUCAGGAGCUCUGUGCUUCAAACCGUCCUCGGACAACAACUGACAACUUGACCUCAAAUCGAGUAGGACUACCCGCUGAACUUAAGCAUAUCAAUAAGCGGAGGA
rnacentral:misc_RNA from 1 species